rnacentral:rRNA from 1 species
ACGCUGGCGGAGGCUAAACGGCUGUUGAAGCCACCUUCGGGUGAGCCCGGGACGCGUAAAGUAACGCGUGGGAACGUACCCUUCUCUACAGAAUAGCCUUUGGAAACGAAGAGUAAUACCGUAUACGCCCUUAGUGGGGAAAGAUUUAUCAGGAGACAGGAUCGGCCCUGAGUUAGAUCACACUACGUAGGAUGGGGUAACAGGCCUACCAAAGUCUACGACUCAUAUAAGAUGGAUUAACGAGAGACUGGUCACGCAACACAUGGGACUCGAGACACAGGACCAGACAUCCUACUCGAAAGUGCAGCACGUUGGAGAACUCUUAGAAACAAAGGGCAGCAAAGCCC